CAACAAUUGCAUUGGGCUUCCUGUUUCAUACUCUAUCCCAUAAGUCAUUGCGGUGUCUGGGAAGCGUUCUUCUUCCACGUGCAAGGUUCCAAGAUGGUGGUUUGAAAAUGUAGAGGCAGAACUGAAGGAGAUGGAACGCCUUUGCAAGGCUCAAAAACCUUAGAGAAACUGGGAUACUUUCUUUCUUCAUCUUCAUAAUGAUUAAUAGGUGAGAUGAAUCUGCCUUCUAACAAAAUCAUUGGUUGGUUUCCACUCUAACAAGGUUUUCUACAUGGAUAUCGAAGUGGAUAAUCAGCUGGCAGAGUAGACAGCGAAAUAUCGUGUAGAACAGGCAAAGGUGAAGUAUAUGCUUUAGAAUAAGGUAGCUAUUACAUAUAGAUCAUUUUCACAAUUUUAAUCCAUCCUAGGAUUUCACUUGUUUGACAAGGGCUUCCUAAAUAUUGAUUGGCACCCACAACACAAUGCUUGGGACCCAAAUGUGUCCCAGAACUCACUUCACUUGUGUUGACAAGGGAUUCCUAAAUAUUUAUUGGCACCCACAACACAAUGCUUGGGAUCAAAAUGUGUCCCAGAACUCACUUCACUGUGUUGGCAAGGGCUCCCAAAAUAUUGAUUGCCACCCACAACACAAAUCUUGAAAUCCCAAGUUGCAUAGUUACGUAGGUACAAGUGCCCAGAUGGGAGUUUUCAUUCAGGGUGGGUUUUGGUUUUGUCCAGUGCAUACACUUUUAUCAAAGAUCCCUUAGAUUUUAGAGCAUCUUAUAUCAAAGUUAAUUCAAACUUUAUGAUGUAGUACUUUAUCUUUACAACAUAGGUACUAUACUACUAUUUGAUAUUUGUACUUAAGUUUGAUAUUGCAUAAUGGUUUAUGUAGUAACCUCUCUAUAUGGAUAUAAUCAAAGGUGCUUUACAUUAAGUUGCGAAUUAAUUUCAGAAUACUGUUUAUGCUAUUUACAAACAUGAGAGGUGGUUAGUAUGAAGCGUAGGAACUAAUGGUGGUCACCACCAGGGUUUCUUUACUUCGUAAUGUUUAUCUUGGGUUUUUAGAUUGUAGCUGUGUAGACAUUUUGCCGUAGAGACUAACAGAUGCAUAUAAACCUUACUAAUAGAUUGAUUAGAGUAAUUGAGAGAUUGUGUUCAGAACAGACACCAUCUAACCACUGAUCUCCUGGUAACUCUGUUGAUAAAUAGAUUAAUAAAAGAUACUGCUGUAUUCUCAAAAUA